rnacentral:rRNA from 1 species
GCAGACAUGCACGUUGGAUGCACCGAUACUCGUCGGAUCACCGAAGAUAAGAAGCGUCGGACACGUUAGUGCUCGCAUGGAUGACCAGCUGGGAAUACCGGUUGUUGCGGCUGUU